CCAUCUUUUAAUUCAGUCUGUGAUGACGCCUGAACGACAUGUCCCUCCGGGAAUUUAUUAGUGUUUCCUCAAACAAACAAACAAACAGGUUUACAUUUCAUCUGCUCUUUGGGGGAACGUCUCAAAUGGCACCCUAUCCCCUAUAUUCCUAUUCCCUAUGUAGUGCCCUACUUUAGACAAGAGCCCUAUUCCCUAUGUAGUGCACUACUUUCGACCAGGGCCCUAUUCCCUAUACAGUACACUACUUUAGACCAGAGUGUCAAUGGCUUUGAAGAAGUAGUGCACUACUUUAGACCAGAGUGUCAAUGGCUUUGAUCAGAAGUAGGGCACUACUUCAGACCAGAGUGUCAAUAAGACGUAGUGCACUACUUCAGACCAGAGUGUCAAUAAGACGUAGUGCACUACUUCAGACCAGAGUGUCAAUAAGACGUAGGGCACUACUUUAGACCAGAGUGUCAACGGCUUUGAUCAGAAGUAGUGCACUACUUUAGACCAGAGUGUCAAUAAGACGUAGUGCACUACUUCAGACCAGAGUGUCAAUAAGACGUAGUGCACUACUUCAGACCAGAGUGUCAAUAAGACGUAGGGCACUACUUCAGACCAGAGUGUCAAUAAGACGUAGUGCACUACUUCAGACCAGAGUGUCAAUAAGACGUAGUGCACUACUUCAGACCAGAGUGUCAAUAAGACGUAGGGCACUACUUUAGACCAGAGUGUCAAUAAGACGUAGUGCACUACUUUAGACCAGUGUCAAUAGGAAGUAGUGCACUACACAGGGAACAGGGCACCAUUUGAGACGCUCAAACCAAAACAUGAUUACACGGUGUUAAGAAAUGUAGAAAAAAACCAACACAGAAAUCCUUUUGGCAUGAGGAUAAAAGCCUUUUUAAGCCAGAGAGGAGUGUAAAGUAAGGCAGUAACUGUCCUUCAUCAAAUUAUAUUAUUACAUAAACAACAUUUUGUUAAUCUAUUGAAUCCUUUUUGGUUAGUUUGUUGUCGUUUUUCACACAGGGGCUGUUGUUGUAUAAAUAUGACCAGUAUGUGCACUUUCAAACAUUCACGUUUAUAUAAAAAAUAAACAUAAACAGUUUCACUUAGACAACAGCCACAGAAGACAUCACCAGGGAAACUGGGCUACAGUGAGAGAUGGCAGCCAUUUUGGAUCUGUUUUAAACAAGGGUCCCUCAUGUCCUUCAGGGGGUACCUAGGUUUAUGCCUGAUUGAAAAAGAGCUUAAAUUAUUUUUUACUUCAGUGAUCCUUUU
ensembl:lncRNA